GAAGGCCUAUAGCUCAGUAGCAGGGCAUCUGCUUUGCAGACAGAAGGCCCUAGGUUCCAUCACUGGCAUCUUCA